UAGGGAAUCUUCGGCAAUGGGGGCAAGUCUGAUGGAGCAACGCCGCGUGAGUGAAGAAGGUCUUCGGAUCGUAAAACUCUGUUGUUAGAGAAGAACACGAGUGAGAGUAACUGUUCAUUCGAUGACGGUAUCUAACCAGCAAGUCACGGCUAACUACGUACCAG
rnacentral:rRNA from 1 species